rnacentral:lncRNA from 1 species
AUUUAUUUUAUUUUUGUCGUGCCUUAGCAAUAAGUCAUGUAUGUAGAGGACUCUUGGAUAACCCUGUAUCCAUACCAAUAGGGCCUUUGUAGCAUAAAGGUCUAAGUAGUCCAACUACUGUAUCACUAUGACUGGGAUUAAUACUGAGGUUGUGAGUUACAAUCUGGCUUUUGGCAGGUGUGCUUUCGACUCCAAUCAUAAUUGAUUAGGAUUGUCAGUUAAUCUACUAAAAAAUAAUAACAAAAUAAAAACUGUCUGCCAUGGUACAAUAGUCAUGAAAGUGGUAUUAAACACCAAACAAUCAAUCAGCCAUAUCAAAGCUUAUUAUGUAAGUAAUAAUAUGCAACUAAUAUGCAGAAACUAUUCACAGCAAUAAUAUUUGGUUUACAAAUGCACAUUGGAGAGUGACCAUAAACCAUAAAAUGGAUGUCACAUGAUCAGCUGCCACAUUUUUCAAUCUUUAGAUGAUUUACUUUUCUUUCAAAUCCAAUUUACAUAUUGUAAUUAACCUGCAACCAUUUAACUUGAAUGGAUGAUGCAAUUAGGUAAAAGCAAAUCACUCUGACCUAUAUUGAAUACUUCAUUGACUCUAAAUUAAGUUUUAUCUCUGUAUGGCAUAUUCUAUUUAGUCUUAUUGAGACUUUGGACAUCAAAAGUCUUUUUAAGCUUAGGCUAGGAGCUUAUACUUCUGCAACCACAAUUUGUUUUAUGAAGAUUAUUGCUAACAUGUUCUGAAGAUUUAUCAUUAGAAUAUGAUAUUUUUAAAAUUUUAAUUUUGGAUGAUUUAUACAAACAUUUUAUAUGAAAAAUUUGAUAUUUGUGUUUUAGUCACCAGAAAAAGAAAUGUAAAAAUUAGAAUAAUACAAUAAGAAUCAGCCUUAGAUCAGUCAGAAGUUUAAACAUAAUACAUCCAGACGAACAAUACCAGUAUCAUUGGUAUUAUUUAAGUCAUUCAAAUUUACUGCACUUUGAUACAUGAAAAGGUGGAGUUGAACAUUAUAACUGGCUGAUACUUCAUGUAUGUUUUAUGUGACUGCUAUAUUAAAUGUUGUUUUUAUAGAAAGGUGCUAUGUUUAUUUCACUUGAAUUCAUUUGUUUAAAGUGUGCUUUAUUUUAUUUUUUUGUUGAUAAUUUUAUGCUAAUUGUAUAUAACAGCGCUAUUAUUUGAACUUGGAAUUAUUUUUAAUUAUGGAAUUUGCAUAAUUUCUUGUGCUUGAAAUUUUGAAUUAAUUCCAUGUUUAUUCUGUAUUAUAAUGUUCUGUGGGGCACACAACACUUUCUAUUACAAAAAAGAUAGCACAUUUUCAAUAGAAUGUACUGUGCCGUGGACAACACUAUCUAUACAAAAUACAAUGUGUGGAAAGUGUUAUGCACCACUCAAAACAUUAUAAUACAGAAUAAACAUGGAAUUUAUCAAAAAUUUCAAACACAAGAAAUUAUGAAAAUUCCAUAUUAAAUUAAAAAUAAUUCCAAGUUAAAAAAAAAGCCUGUUAUAUAUACAUUUAUGUUUUAGGUAAUUAGAUGACAACUAUAUUGAUUUUAUAACCACUUAUUAAUCUUGUUAUUUUAUUUGUAGAAAUAUAAAUAUAUUUAGAAAACUCUAUUAUCUAUGUAUAUACAUGUACAUGUAUAUUUUUAUAUGUAAUUUUUUUUUAAUUCCUGUUAAAGCAAAGGAUGGAAUUUUGUCUUUGUGAUUUCUAAGCUUGAUGUUAAAUAAUCAAGUAUUCUGUCUUUUGAUAAGCAGUAAAUAGUUUCAGGAUAUAAUUUAGUACGCCAGACUCAUCAAUAUCAAAAUAGUUAUCAAGCCUAAACCAAUUAUACAAACACAAAGUGGAGAAAAUGAUAAAAGUAUCAAAUACCAGUAGCUUAGUAGUUGUAUACCCACUUCCUAAUGGUAUGGUGUUAACAUAUCUCAAUUAUUAUAUUACGCUGAUGUAUUUUGACAAUUUAAAGACUUAAUUAUGGUAACUGGGUGUUCUCCUCUCACAAAAACUGCCCUUAAAAAGUUAUGGGAAAUAAUGACUGAAAUCAACAUAACAUAAGUUUAAUAGUUACUGUCACAAAAAGAUGACCAGUAAAAUGUGACUAUGUCUCAAGUUAGAAGUGACGUUUUGUUUUUGUAUUAUAUCUUUAAAUACAAGCUGUAACAUUUUGAGUUCAGCUUUGAAUGGGGUUGAUACAUGCAUAGAAAAUUAUGCUAACCCUAUGUAUCUGACUCAAUCCUUUCAGGGUUCAUGGGGUUCCCUCAGUUUUUGUUUCUUUCGUUAUUACAAAAUGUAGUAUCUUCUGAAUGGGUUUAUAAGAUUUCAACAUCUGAUAACUAAUGUAGCCUGGAAUUUAGUAUUGAAAUAGAGUGAUAAAUGGAACAAAAAAACAUAAUUAUGGAUAGAUAAUUUCCUCAAUGAAAAGAAUACAAUUUACACUUGGGUUUCUAUAUUUAAGAUGACUUUUACUCUAAGAUAUGGACCACAGUUUAAAAUGGUUCUCAUCAAUCUGAUAGGCCAUAUCUUCACCUUAAGAUAUCCAUAUAUACAUUAAAAUCUCAAGAUGACCUAUACACUAUAUAAAUGACAUUGACAUAAGUUAUGUUUAACACAUUAUAUGAGAUAUUGCCACUUAUCAUAAAAAACGUAAAAGAUAUUUUACAUUCAAUUGCAUUUAUUAGGAUAUAUAUAAUUCAAUGCAUUGAUACAUCUAAUUUUUUUUUACAAAAGACCAGUACAGCACAUUGUUUAUGCUCAACCUAAGAUAGUUUAUAGGGACUUUAUAUUUUUCUGCGUUCUGCAUCCAAAUUGGUUUGUCCGUACAUUGGUUCAUUCAUUUUGUAUCAGGUUAAAUUUUGUGAAGUAAGUUUACCAUUAAGUUGUGAUCACAUUAAUUUGAAACUUUGUACACAUUGUUUAUCAUGAUCUGAACUUUUAGCGUUGAUUUUAUUGUUUACUGACCAUAGGAAUGUGAUAUUGCGAACAGUACAUUCGCAGGUUGAAUGUUUUGUAAAGGUUGUAUACCUAAAAUUUAGGGUCACAUCAUCUUGACAAUUAGUUCCCAUGUUUAUUAUAAGGUGAAGUAUUCAAAUUUUAGGGUGUCCUAUUGACCCAUAUUCUUGUUAUUGUCUGUUAUUGGAUUCAUUGAUAUUUUAUUUUAUGGAGUAAUUUUCUGAGUCUUUUCAUGACAUUAUUAUAAAACAAUAAGCAAUGCAAUGUUGUAAGUGAUGUUUUUUUUAUUUGUAAAAUGAAAAAGCUGGCAGUUUUAAAAUUAAAUAAUAUCUGUUAAAUAUUUAUGAUUUUAUUUCAAAAUGCAGCUUAUAAAAAUAAGAAGAUGUGAUAUGAUUGUCAAUGCGACAACUCUCUGCAAGACACCGAAUGACAUAGAAAUUAACAACUGUAGGUAACUGUAUUGCCUUCAGCAAUCAGUAAAACCCAUACCUCAUAGUUAGCUAUAACAGGCCUAAAAAUGACCAAUGUAAAACAAUUCAAACAAGAAAACUAACGGCUUGAUUUAUGU